rnacentral:rRNA from 1 species
CAUGGGCGAAACCCUCUUGAUUUAUAUCAAAUAAAAUUCUAGGUGAGAUUUUUGAUAAUGACAUUGCUUACCUAAGUCUUGACCAAAUUACGUGCCAGCAGUCGCGGUAAUACGUAAAAGACUAGUGUUAUUCAUCUUUAAUUGGUUUAAAGGGUACCUAGACAGCGAAUAAAGCCGUGGGGGGGGACUAAUUCGCUAGAGUUACUUAUGAGGGGGUAUUAAAGUACUGCAGGUGUAGAGAUGAAAUUUUGUUAUACCUCUUCUCGUAUGAGAAACUAUGGCACAGGUAUAGGUGAAAGCAUCCCCUUAUGUGAUAACUGACGUUGAGGGACGAAGGCUUUGUGUCGCGAACAGGAUUAGAUACCCCAAUAGUCAAAGCAGAAAAUGAUGAAUGUCAUAGAUUAGAUAUGCAAUUUAUUCUAGAAAUGAAAGUGUAAGCAUUCCACCUCAAGAGUAAUUUGGCAAGAUUGGAACUGAAAUCAUUAGACCGUUUCUGAAAACCAGUAGUGAAGUAUGUUGUUUAAUUUGAUGAUACGCAAAAAAACCUUACCACAAUU